rnacentral:rRNA from 1 species
UGGGGAAUCUUGGACAAUGGGCGCAACCCUGAUCCAGCCAUGCCGCGUGAGUGAUGAAGGCCUUAGGGUCGUAAAGCUCUUUCGCCUGUGAAGAUAAUGACGGUAGCAGGUAAAGAAACCCCGGCUAACUCCGUGCCAGCAGCCGCGGUAAUACGGAGGGGGUUAGCGUUGUUCGGAAUUACUGGGCGUAAAGCGCACGUAGGCGGACCAGAAAGUUGGGGGUGAAAUCCCGGGGGCUCAACCCCGGAACUGCCUCCAAAACUAUUGGUCUAGAGUUCGAGAGAGGUGAGUGGAAUUCCAAGUGUAGAGGUGAAAUUCGUAGAUAUUUGGAGGAACACCAGUGGCGAAGGCGGCUCACUGGCUCGAUACUGACGCUGAGGUGCGAAAGUGUGGGGAGCAAACAGGAUUAGAUACCCUGGUAGUCCACACCGUAAAACGAUGAAUGCCAGUCGUCGGGUAGCAUGCUAUUCGGUGACACACCUAACGGAUUAAGCAUUCCGCCUGGGGAGUACGGUCGCAAGAUUAAAAC